GUGUGUGUGUGUGUGUUUGUGUGUGUGAAUGCUAGUCAUGAAACUUUAAAGCCUCUAGUUAGGUAACAGCUUGAUCUAUCCAUGUUCAACAGCAUAACUGGAACCUUCAGCCUGACUCUCAGGUGAUGGAAGGUAACCAAUUGGAUUGGGUUUAUAAUCAAUCUUUGGCCAGCAACUCAACAGAGGUAACCAAUUCCUAGUACUGAAGGUUUUACCUAAUAACGUAUGAUAUUGAGUUGGGGUAUUGUUUUCUACAUUACAUAGUAUCUCAUUUAAAUUUCUUUCAUAUAUGUGUAUAUUUUAGGAAAGUUCUAGAAUAAUAGGUUUUUAUUCAGAUUUUCCAAGGGCUUUUCAUUUAGUUAUUUUCCCCCAUUUAUAAACCUCUCUCCUACCCUUAUCCCCCUCCCCAUUUAUUAGGAGAACUAAUUUAGAAUAUGAAUACUUAUUGUGUAUCCUUAUUUUUAACACAAUACCACUUAUAUUAGGUGUCACAUUAUGAGCUAGAAUAUCACUUAUUGUAGGCCGCUGAACUAUAAUUCACUUUCUCACAAUAAGUAAAUCAUGAUGGUAAUUCUAAUCACCCAAUACUACACCUUCAGUAUUUCUAUCUAAAUCUACAACAUAUAAUAUGCACUUAUAGAAAAUGAAAUAUAUCAGUUUUAUAUCAUGUAGAAAACAAUAAAGCCAUUUUUAAAAUUUUGGUUGUAUAUGUUAAGAUACUUUGCAAUAAUUAGAAACUUCAAAUAACCAGUGGUGGGGGACGGAGAUGAAUGUUUUUUACCUGUAAGUGUGAGAGAUGUCCCCCUUAUGAAAUGUAACAUUUUACAUUUGUGGGAUUUAUUAUAUUUAGUAAAUUUUGCAUGAACUUAAUUAUAAAUUUAACCUUUAGAUGAUUAAUACUGGACUAUCUCCUUUGUUUGAAAAACCUGGAAGUGGAUAAUGAAACAGAGGUUGCACAAUUGUUCUUGAGAACAGCUGGGAACAUCAUUCAGAGUUGUGGUUUGUUUAAUGCUCAUUGCUCUUUCACAGAGAACCAAGAGAAAUAUGAGCCUCAGCAUAUGUUCUUUUCUGCAUGAAAGCUCACUAAAAUCCCCCAUGUGUUCCCAGUGAUAGGCAAUAGCAUUUUAUUGUCUCUGUUAUACAGUUUGUCAUUUGGUUAUAUUCAGGCUAGCGCUUUAUAACACAUAGCUUUAGACUUCUCUCCUCUUGUGAGCUCUCAAGCCAUUGUAUAUUUCCCCCCAGUUUUACUAUACUAUAUUCCAUUCAUCAAUUCCUUUUUAUUUUAUGCUGACUAUUUUCCUUACAAUGUGCUAUAUUUUCUCCUCUGCCAGACUAUACAUUCUACAAGGCUUGCAACUAUGCUUUAUUUAUUUCCAGACUUUCUUCCUGCACCUAUGCCUAAAAUCGGUGCACGUGGAGGGAAUGUUUCGUUACAUCAGUGAAUGAAAAAAUGAUGGAUUCAGUGUUUCAUAGAGUCUAUUCUAAUCCUUUCAGGUCACAUAUUUUCUCACCAAGACUGGAAGGCUCAGGAGGGUGAAGUGACAGGUGUCACAUACACUUGGUUCUUUAUACCUGUUUACAAGCUCAGGAAUUAUUGCCUUAUUGAAUUGAAUUGUUUUGUUCUACAAAGCAAGUUUGGAUGGAGUUGUAGAAAGAUUUUUAUUAUCAGCACACAUUCUGGUUAUCUGGAAAAGCAAGACUUCAGUUGUUGCCAGGACUUAUCCUUAAUUAUUUCAAACUACCUUUUAAUAAGUUCUUAAAGCUAUGUCACUGACCUUUCCAAAUGCUGACAAGCAGACAGUCCUUCUAAUGAACAGGAAAAAGCAAAUGUCUCCAGAAUCCUGAAGCUGCUGUGCUGACACUGGGAGUGGGGUUCAAGGUAAGAGUUCUCACCUGGCCUAGUAUUAGGUCCUGGCUUCUAAACUUAGCAUAGUAGAGAUCACGUGAGCAAACACACACCAUUAUCCAAAAAUGUUGGUAUCCUAGCAAGUGUGGGGAAAGAAGAUAGACAUGAGUGAAAUGGUUUGGUUAUGAUAAAUACAAUACUAAAAAGUAAGGAGAGAACAGCUAGAAGAACAAGUUUGUUGAAAAAUAUGCAUUUGAUGAAUGUUGCAACCUGUCACACAGUGACUGACUAGACAUUUGGGAAAGAGAAGUCUAUGUGGUGAUUAUGGAUAAAGAUGAGCCUUAAAGAAAGUGAGCUAGGCAAGGCAUGAGGACCAAAGCAAGGACUAUUCCUAAGAUAGGGAUAAAGGCAUAUCUCUAUGCUUAACACAACUGAUUAGUUUCCAAACUUCUAGCAUUUAUCAAUUUGGCAAUCCUACGUAUGAUCACUUGAUAGUUAUAUCCUCUUAGAACAUUUCUACAAGUAACACCACAUCUUUACCUUGGUAUUUGGAAAACAGUGAUUCCUAUGUCAUACAUCUUGCCUAAAUCUACCUGAUUAUUAUACAUUUUUUGGCAUAGGUUCUUGUGUCUGGUAGGUAAUUAAUAAGGCUUCUAAAUAAACUUACUAAGGAAUAUGAUUUCAUUUUAUGGCCUCUAAGGUCACCAAGCAUGUAUGAAGUCUUCAGGCACACAUACAGGCAAAACACCUAUUCACAUU
rnacentral:lncRNA from 1 species